CCUACGGGAGGCUGCAGUGAGGAAUAUUGGUCAAUGGGCGCGAGCCUGAACCAGCCAAGUAGCGUGAAGGAAGAAGGCUUUCGGGUUGUAAACUUCUUUUUAGAGGGAAGAGCAGACGACGGUACCUCUUGAAUAAGCCACGGCUAACUACGUGCCAGCAGCCGCGGUAAUACGUAGGUGGCAAGCGUUGUCCGGAUUUACUGGGUGUAAAGGGCGUGCAGCCGGGAAGACAAGUCAGAUGUGAAAUCCCGCGGCUCAACCGCGGAACUGCAUUUGAAACUGUUUUGCUUGAGUACCGGAGAGGUCAUCGGAAUGCCUUGUGUAGCGGUGAAAUGCGUAGAUAUAAGGAAGAACACCGAUUGCGAAGGCAGCUUACUAAACUGCCACUGACAUUGAUGCUCGAAAGUGUGGGUAUCAAACAGGAUUAGAUACCCCUGUAGUC
rnacentral:rRNA from 1 species